UGAAAGAGGAGUUGAUGCUUGGGC
rnacentral:piRNA from 1 species